GACGAACGCUGGCGGCGUGCCUAAUACAUGCAAGUAGAACGCUGAAGAGAGGAGCUUGCUCUUCUUGGAUGAGUUGCGAACGGGUGAGUAACGCGUAGGUAACCUGCCUUGUAGCGGGGGAUAACUAUUGGAAACGAUAGCUAAUACCGCAUAACAAUGGAUGACACAUGUCAUUUAUUUGAAAGGGGCAAUUGCUCCACUACAAGAUGGACCUGCGUUGUAUUAGCUAGUAGGUGAGGUAACGGCUCACCUAGGCGACGAUACAUAGCCGACCUGAGAGGGUGAUCGGCCACACUGGGACUGAGACACGGCCCAGACUCCUACGGGAGGCAGCAGUAGAGAAUCUUCGGCAAUGGGGGCAACCCUGACCGAGCAACGCCGCGUGAGUGAAGAAGGUUUUCGGAUCGUAAAGCUCUGUUGUAAGUCAAGAACGAGUGUGAGAGUGGAAAGUUCACACUGUGACGGUAGCUUACCAGAAAGGGACGGCUAACUACGUG
rnacentral:rRNA from 1 species